rnacentral:lncRNA from 1 species
CACACAGCUGAGAACCCCUCUAUUUAUGUGCACUGUUGCCUCAUGUGCUUUAUAAGUCAAGGAUAAUUACAGUGAAUCUGUUGUUCUAAAACCUUUCUGUGGACCAUUCUCUAAGGAAAUGUGCAACUGGUCUCCCAGGAAAUGUGUCACGUGAGUGCCCUGAACACCUUAACGCAAUUAAAAUUGUAAGUCUCAAAUCAAACUCAGGCUUUCAGACCAGGAUCCACAUUGUGUUUGCUUCCAAAGUCAC